GCCCCGUCUCGCUUUCCCCCCUCCCCCUGCUAAUCAGCUGUGCGCGCAGGAAGCCGUGGAGGGAAGAGAAGCCAUGUGGCGGCUUCGCGCUCAGGCCCAGCAAGGUGGAGACGGAGACGAGGCCGAGCUCCAGGGCGCUGGGUUCCCCGCCUCCGUGACAGCAAUGCUUGGAGUCUCCAUUGCAGGAACCCCCGGAGCAGAACUGUCCGGACUUCCCCGAGGAACUGCCGGACCUACC